AUUGUUUCUUCGGCAAUGAGAGAGCGGCGUACGGGUGCGGAACACGUGUGCAACCUGCCUUUAUCUGGGGGAUAGCCUUUCGAAAGGAAGAUUAAUACUCCAUAACAUAUUGAUUGGCAUCAAUUAAUAUUGAAAGCUCCGGCGGAUAGAGAUGGGCACGCGCAAGAUUAGCUAGUUGGUGAGGUAACGGCUCACCAAGGCGAUGAUCUUUAGGGGGCCUGAGAGGGUGAUCCCCCACACUGGUACUGAGACACGGACCAGACUCCUACGGGAGGCAGCAGUGAGGAAUAUUGGUCAAUGGGUGCAAGCCUGAACCAGCCAUCCCGCGUGAAGGACGACUGCCCUAUGGGUUGUAAACUUCUUUUGUAUAGGGAUAAACCUACCCUCGUGAGGGUAGCUGAAGGUACUAUACGAAUAAGCACCGGCUAACUCCGUGCCAGCAGCCGCGGUAAUACGGAGGGUGCAAGCGUUAUCCGGAUUUAUUGGGUUUAAAGGGUCCGUAGGCGGACUUAUAAGUCAGUGGUGAAAGCCUGUCGCUUAACGAUAGAACUGCCAUUGAUACUGUAAGUCUUGAGUAUAUUUGAGGUAGCUGGAAUAAGUAGUGUAGCGGUGAAAUGCAUAGAUAUUACUUAGAACACCAAUUGCGAAGGCAGGUUACCAAGAUAUAACUGACGCUGAGGGACGAAAGCGUGGGGAGCGAACAGGAUUAGAUACCCUGGUAGUCCACGCCGUAAACGAUGCUAACUCGUUUUUGGGCUUUAGGGUUCAGAGACCAAGCGAAAGUGAUAAGUUAGCCACCUGGGGAGUACGCUCGCAAGAGUGAAACUCAAAGGGAUUGACGGGGGCCCGCACAAGCGGUGGAUUAUGUGGUUUAAUUCGAUGAUACGCGAGGAACCUUACCAAGACUUAAAUGGGAAUUGACAGCUUUAGAAAUAGAGCUUUCUUCGGACAAUUUUCAAGGUGCUGCAUGGUUGUCGUCAGCUCGUGCCGUGAGGUGUUAGGUUAAGUCCUGCAACGAGCGCAACCCCUGUCACUAGUUGCCAUCAUUCAGUUGGGGACUCUAGUGAGACUGCCUACGCAAGUAGAGAGGAAGGUGGGGAUGACGUCAAAUCAUCACGGCCCUUACGUCUUGGGCCACACACGUAAUACAAUGGCCGGUACAGAGGGCAGCUACACAGCGAUGUGAUGCAAAUCUCGAAAGCCGGUCUCAGUUCGGAUUGGAGUCUGCAACUCGACUCUAUGAAGCUGGAAUCGCUAGUAAUCGCGCAUCAGCCAUGGCGCGGUGAAUACGUUCCCGGGCCU
rnacentral:rRNA from 1 species